AGCAAACAGGAUUAGAUACCCUGGUAGUCCACGCCGUAAACGAUGUCGACUUGGAGGUUGUGCCCUUGAGGCGUGGCUUCCGGAGCUAACGCGUUAAGUCGACCGCCUGGGGAGUACGGCCGCAAGGUUAAAACUCAAAUGAAUUGACGGGGGCCCGCACAAGCGGUGGAGCAUGUGGUUUAAUUCGAUGCAACGCGAAGAACCUUACCUGGUCUUGACAUCCACAGAACCCUGUAGAGAUACGGGGGUGCCUUCGGGAACUGUGAGACAGGUGCUGCAUGGCUGUCGUCAGCUCGUGUUGUGAAAUGUUGGGUUAAGUCCCGCAACGAGCGCAACCCUUAUCCUUUGUUGCCAGCGGUCCGGCCGGGAACUCAAAGGAGACUGCCAGUGAUAAACUGGAGGAAGGUGGGGAUGACGUCAAGUCAUCAUGGCCCUUACGACCAGGGCUACACACGUGCUACAAUGGCGCAUACAAAGAGAAGCGACCUCGCGAGAGCAAGCGGAUCUCAUAAAGUGCGUCGUAGUCCGGAUUGGAGUCUGCAACUCGACUCCAUGAAGUCGGAAUCGCUAGUAAUCGUGGAUCAGAAUGCCACGGUGAAUACGUUCCCGGGCCUUGUACACACCGCCCGUCACACCAUGGGAGUGGGUUGCAAAAGAAGUAGGUAGCUUAACCUUCGGGAGGGCGCUUACCACUUUGUGAUUCAUGACUGGGGUGAAGUCGUAACAAGGUAACCGUAGGGGAACCUGCGGUUGGAUCACCUCCUUACCUUAAAGAAGC
rnacentral:rRNA from 1 species